UCCCAACCGGCUUGAAAUGUUGGCUGCUGAUUUCUCGUGAUUCUUCCAGAUACUUUCCCAAAUUUUCUCUCCUGCCUUCUAUCCCCACCCUGGAAUAUCGGAUUCGGGAGUCUUCGGCGGUUGUGUUCUUGAGUUCGUGUUUCCUUUCCUCUUCUCGCCGCAUCUGACUGCAUACAUGCCCAUUUCCGAUUUCUUUGCCGGAUAGAAGGAUGCCUCGCUUAUUUUUUCUCGGAGCAUGAAGGGUCGAAGUCGCAAGACCCCAUCCCCCUGGAUUUAUCGGAUCUGAGAGCCCAAGUCCCCAUCUUCGGUGGCAGAGAUCCGGUUCCUGAGAGAAGGUUUCUCUGAUUUCGCAAAUUUUGUUAUUUCUGCUUGCUAGAUGUUUCUCUGAUUUCGCAAAUUUUGUUAGUUCUGCUUGCUUCUCUGAUUUUGUAGUUUGAUCUGUUCUGAAAAUCGGUGUUUGAGAUGCUGAUUUCAUUUUCGUGUCUUUGAAAAACAAUUGUGUGCAGGAGAUGAAGGUAGGAAAGGGGAAUAAGAUGUUGUGUGGGCUUGUGUAGUUCCAGGAGCUGCCGGUUUAUUUCUGGAAAUUUAUUCUCAUCCACAACAGCUGCGAGUGACACCUCCCUCAGGAGAUGAAGCUAGGAAAUGGGAAGGAGAUGCUGUGUGGGCUUGUCUAGUUCCAGGAGCUGCCGGUUUAUUUCUUGAAUUUUAUUCUCAGCCACAACAGCUUCGAGUGACACCCCCCUCAGAUGGGUUCUCCCCGACAGUUGAAAGGGAGGGUCAAGUCUUUCUCGGUAGAGACCACUCAAGAGGCAUGGCGAUUCGACGUGACCUCAAUCACAGGUGUUGCACCUACAACGGUGCCUGUCCAAGGCAAUGAACAGCCACAUAUGGAUUGUAGACCAGCGCCACGCAAAUCUGGUACAGGUACUUCCGUGCCUGUAGAUGUUCCGAAUA